rnacentral:ncRNA from 2 species
UCAUCACGACAGGGGAGCGCCCUAGCGCUGAGAGUGUGGCCCGCGAGGCCGCAGACCCUCGAACCUGCUCCGGUUAGCACCGGCGAAGGAAGUCGGUAAUUCUCAGGU